AUUGAACGCUAGCGGGAUGCCUUACACAUGCAAGUCGAACGGAGCGGCGAACGGGUGAGUAAUGUCUAGGAAUGUGCCUAGUAGCGGGGGAUAACUACGCGAAAGCGUAGCUAAUACCGCAUACUAUUGGAGCGGCCGAUAUCGGAUUAGCUAGUUGGUGGGGUAACGGCUCACCAAGGCGACGAUCCGUAGCUGGUUUGAGAGGACGAACAGCCACACUGGGACUGAGACACGGCCCAGACUCCUACGGGAGGCAGCAGUGGGGAAUUUUGGACAAUGGGGGAAACCCUGAUCCAGCCAUCCCGCGUGUGUGAUGAAGGCCUUCGGGUUGUAAAGCACUUUUGGGAGGGAAGCGGUACCUGCAGAAUAAGCACCGGCUAACUACGUGCCAGCAGCCGCGGUAAUUC
rnacentral:rRNA from 1 species